CCUAGUUCACUGUGAGACAGCUGUAGGACUUGAGAUAAAUAACUGAAACCAUGCUGAAGGUAUUUCUGCUCGGAUGUCUCCUGAGCCUCACUCUGGCUCAUCCUAGGGACAAGGGACACAAACACCCUGCCCACUCCAACUCUAACUCAGGAGAGGUGACCAACGACACUUUGCAGCAGAUCCUUGCCCUCCUACAAGCACUUGCUACAACUACUACUGCAACAACUACUACGACAGCUGCACCCACUACAACUCGUGCACCAUAAAACCUGAAAUGAAACCAAAGAUCAACGAGUGAUUUUAAGCCACCAUUACAUUUCUGACAUCAGCACAAUGUUGUGUCAGCUUCUUCUGCUUUCUUGAGAAUGCACAGCUUUAGUUUUUCUCUUUCCCAGAUUGAUUCAUGCUUCUUAAUCAGUGUUUCU